GCCCCCGUCAUGGCGCCCGAGGAGAACGCGGGGAGCGAACUCUUGCUGCAGAGUUUCAAGCGCCGCUUCCUGGCAGCGCGCGCCCUGCGCUCCUUCCGCUGGCAGGUGGGCGGCGGGGCUAGCGGAGAGGUCCGCGGGGCUCGCGGGAGUCCAGGGGCAGACGGGAUGGGUCUCCGUGCUGAAGCCCCCGGCGCUCCCGCCACAGCUUAGAAGCAAAGUUAAGAGACUCAUCAGAUUCUGAGCUGCUGCGGGAUAUUUUGCAGAAGACUGUGAAGCAUCCUGUGUGUGUGAAGCACCCGCCGUCAGUCAAGUAUGCCCGGUGCUUUCUCUCAGAACUCAUCAAAAAGACGUGCUGUAUUGCCCAGAAGCCAUCGUGUCGCUGGUCGGGGUCCUGCGGAGGCUGGCUGCCUGCCGGGAGCACCAGCGGGCUCCUCAAUUCUACAUGGCCCUUACCGUCUGCAACCCAGAGAUGUGCCAGCUGUUCACCACCGAGCUAUGCUGGACUGGGAUCAGAUGGGAAGCGGAAGCUCAUCAUGACCAGAAACUGUUUCCCUACAGAGAGCACUUGGAGAUGGCAAAGCUGAACCUCACACUGUAGGACUCACACAUGACUCCAACGGGAUUGUGAGAAUUAAGUCACUCUCGUGGGAAGAAUUUUUAUAUGGGAAAGCGGAUAAAACUUUCAUUGGACUGGAAUGUUUGGAGAAUGUUAAAUUCCAAAUCAGGAACCACAAACUGCGCUCUAAUAAGACAUCGGCUAUCUAAGCAUGUGGGUUCCCCCUUUCUGCCAGCAGUUCUGGUUCUUAAGAAAAUCACCAUAAAUCAGACAUGAAAAUUCUGGCUCCAAAAA
rnacentral:lncRNA from 1 species